rnacentral:lncRNA from 1 species
GCUAAUUAAAUAUAUGGGUUGAUUAUGUAAAUCAUCCAUAUCUUGUAUAGUGGGCUAAGAGGCUCCAUGGAUUAUCAAGUUGGGUUCCACCCAUAGGAUGCUCCAUGGGAGUUACAAACCCAUGGGUCAUGGAAAUGAAGAGUCAUGACACAUUAGGGUUUACAUGGUGUAACCCUAGAUGUGUCAACACUAUAUAAGAAUCUCAUUCUCCACCAAAAUCGGCUACACAUAUGAAACAAGAGGGCUAGGCCGAUUUUAAGAAGUGUGUGUUCUCUCAAAAGUCUUUCCAAGAGCAUUUGGUGUUGUGUGAAGCAUUUGAGGCAUCACACUUGGGGUGCUAGGCUCACAAGGUUUCAAGGAACAUAAGCAACAACAAGGUAAGUUAUUCUAUCUUUCAUUCAAGUUAAAAAUUGUUCCCCAUGUAUGCUAGAUAGGAAUAUAACCUUGGAAUUCAACUUUGCAUGAUAAUUAGACAAACAUAGAUCCAAGGUUAUUAGGGUUGCAUGUACACUUAGGAAGUGUUAGAAUGCUCAAAACCCAUCAGUGGUAUCAGAGCCUAGGCUUUUUUGUUUGUUAUUUGUGCAA